rnacentral:rRNA from 1 species
GCUGGCGGCGUGCUUACACAUGCAAGUCGAACGGAAAGGCCCUUCGGGGUACUCGAGUGGCGAACGGGUGAGUAACACGUGGGUGAUCUGCCCUGCACUCUGGGAUAAGCCUGGGAAACUGGGUCUAAUACCGGAUAGGACCACACACUUCAUGGUGAGUGGUGCAAAGCUUUUGCGGUGUGGGAUGAGCCCGCGGCCUAUCAGCUUGUUGGUGGGGUAAUGGCCCACCAAGGCGACGACGGGUAGCCGGCCUGAGAGGGUGACCGGCCACACUGGGACUGAGAUACGGCCCAGACUCCUACGGGAGGCAGCAGUGGGGAAUAUUGCACAAUGGGCGCAAGCCUGAUGCAGCGACGCCGCGUGAGGGAUGACGGCCUUCGGGUUGUAAACCUCUUUCAGUAGGGACGAAGCGAAAGUGACGGUACCUACAGAAGAAGGACCGGCCAACUACGUGCCAGCAGCCGCGGUAAUACGUAGGGUCCGAGCGUUGUCCGGAAUUACUGGGCGUAAAGAGCUCGUAGGUGGUUUGUCGCGUUGUUCGUGAAAACUCACAGCUUAACUGUGGGCGUGCGGGCGAUACGGGCAGACUAGAGUACUGCAGGGGAGACUGGAAUUCCUGGUGUAGCGGUGGAAUGCGCAGAUAUCAGGAGGAACACCGGUGGCGAAGGCGGGUCUCUGGGCAGUAACUGACGCUGAGGAGCGAAAGCGUGGGUAGCGAACAGGAUUAGAUACCCUGGUAGUCCACGCCGUAAACGGUGGGUACUAGGUGUGGGUUUCCUUCCUUGGGAUCCGUGCCGUAGCUAACGCAUU